AGGUAGGCGGAGCAGGGUUUAUUAUCACCGUGGUACAGCUGGAGACACUGAGGGUCCGAGGGGCCCAUGUGACUCAGCCCAGGUCACGGGACUAAGAAGCAGCUGAGCUGGAACUCAGGCUGGGUCUCCUGACGGUGAGUUGGAUGCCCAGGUGACCGGGAGCCUCCACAGCCACUCGGUGCUCAGGUGAGGAAAUGGAAGCCCUGAGAAGUUUAAUGUCGUACGGGAUUGCUGCAGAGCUGGGACUUGCACCCGGGCCUCUGGGUGCUAACGUCAAUGAGCUUCACUGUGGCGUUGUACUGCAUGGAGAAGAUCCUGGAAAGGCUCGCAACAAUUUCCAAAGCGGGGAAGGAGUCCUCCUGUUAGAGCAGGUUGGAAACCACUGAGCCGGGCUGUGGAGGCAGCAUGUUCUACCCCCUCAGCAGAGACGGAGUCAUGAGACCUGAGGUCAGGUUCCAGCCCCUCCCCUGGCUGGUUGGAUGAUCUUGGGGGCCAUCCCAUGUGACUUGGAGAGCUUUGGUUUCCCCACCCUGGAGCAGAGAUCACGAAAAUUAUUUGGCUGGAUUGUCAAGAAGAUUAAAUGAGAUAGAUAAAGGGCUUUGGAAGCCGUGAGGCUUUGCGGAAGU